AUUGAACGCUGGCGGCAGGCCUAACACAUGCAAGUCGAACGAGUGGCGGACGGGUGAGUAAUGUCUGGGAAACUGCCCGCUGGAGGGGGGUAACUACUGGAAACGGUAGCUAAUACCGCAUACCAUCGGAUGUGCCCAGAUGGGAUUGGCUAGUAGGUGGGGUAACGGCUCACCUAGGCGACGAUCCCUAGCUGGUCUGAGAGGAUGACGAGCCACACUGGAACUGAGACCCGGUCCAGACUCCUACGGGAGGCAGCAGUGGGGAAUAUUGCACAAUGGGCGCAAGCCUAAUGCAGCCAUGCCGCGUAUAUGAAGAAGGCCUUCGGGUUGUAGAGUACUUCCAGCGAGGAGGCGUUACUCGCAGAAGAAGCACCGGCUAACUCCGUGCCAGCAGCCGCGGUAAUAC
rnacentral:rRNA from 1 species